rnacentral:rRNA from 1 species
AUGGAGUCCCGCAUGGACCAGUACGAGAUCAUGGAGCAGAUUGGGCGCGGCGCCUUCGGCGCCGCCAUCCUUGUGAAUCACAAGAUCGAGAAGAAGAAGUAUGUGCUGAAGAAAAUCCGUCUCGCGAGGCAGACGGAGCGCUGCCGCAAGUCUGCUCAUCAAGAGAUGGCUCUCAUCGCUCGACUACAACAUCCUUACAUUGUAGAGUUCAAAGAGGCCUGGGUUGAGAAGGGUUGCUAUGUCUGCAUCAUCACGGGCUACUGCGAAGGGGGGGAUGUGGAUGAGCUGAUGAAGAAAUUAAAUGGUACUUACUUUCCUGAGGAGAAAUUGCUGAAAUGGUUCGCACAGUUGGUAUUGGCUGUUGACUACUUGCAUUCGAACUAUGUCUUGCAUCGUGAUCUGAAGUGCUCCAACAUAUUUCUCACCAAAGAUCAUGAUAUACGCCUUGGAGAUUUUGGCCUAGCCAAGACUCUGAAGGAAGAUGAUUUAACUUCUUCAGUCGUCGGAACACCGAAUUACAUGUGCCCGGAGCUGCUUACAGACAUUCCCUAUGGAUUCAAGUCGGACAUUUGGUCGCUUGGAUGCUGUAUGUAUGAGAUGGCGGCCCAUCGACCUGCUUUCAAGGCUUUUGAUAUGGCUGGAUUGAUAAGUAAGAUAAAUAGGUCCGCGAUGGGUCCCUUGCCUACCUGCUACUCCUCUUCUAUGAAAUCUCUUAUCAAAAUUAUGUUGCGGAAGAAUCCUGAGCAUCGACCUACUGCAUCGGAGAUUCUGAAGAACCCAUAUCUGCAGCCUUAUGUUGAUCAAUGUCGUGCUCUUUAUGAUGCUUCAAAUACCAUGCGGACACCACCGAAAUCAUUGUCCACUUCACGGAGCAGUCAGAGAAGCAUGUCUGAAAGCCAAAGCAGCAGCAUGUCUAGUAGUGAUAUAGACAGCACACUAUCAAGUGACAGAAGCACAUCAGGUGGAGCUGCAAGUACUGAUACCAAGGUCAUUGAUACUCGAAGCGUUCAUGAUGUGGAUCGAGAUAACUCAGAUGAGAAGUGUGCAACGCCAGAAGAUCUCAGAGGCAACAAAGACCUGAAAAGACAAGAUUCAUCUAAAUCCAUAGAUCAGCAUCACAGGGGUGAGAGUAAGCAACCGAAAAUCAUUGAGAAGAUAAUGACAACCUUAAGAGAGGAGAGCAGGCUUAGAGAAAGCAAUACUCCUGCAAGAACUAGAGGCGUAAAGCCGAGUUCUGCAGCCAGUAAUAAGAAUGAAGCAGAGCAACCAUCAGAUACUUCAAGGUUUAACAACAAUAAUGCUUCAUGCAGAUCAAGGUCUGGUGAUGAUUCAUCUCAUGGAUUGGUCAGUACCAACGAUGGAUGCGUGAACUCAGUGCAAGCUUCACCACCCUCGAAGCAACUGUUACCUAUUGUUGAACACCGUUCAAAUAUCAGAACCUCUCGGUCAUCAACUCCUGAACCUGCCAAACAGGUCAUUGAAAAUGGUUCGGCAGUUUCAGCGAAGUCAAAAAUGAAGACCCCGAGUAGUGCUACUAGACGGGCUAGCCCUCAGCGACGAGUGGGUGUAGGGACAACUGGCCUCCCAGCCACUGUGCAAAAAGGAGCUCAAACUAAGGUCAUGGUGGAGGGUGAGAAAAGUCCAUGCCAACGUGUCCAUUCUCCAGAUAAUACCCCUGGUGAUCUUCCACUUACUGUAAGGCCAUCCAAAAUUCCUUCAGAAGGUCUGAACAUCAUGCCAAACAACUCACAUGCAAAAUCUGCUCCCCGAGAAUUGUUUACUGUCGCAACUAAGGAAGACAUCAGCCCUUGCUCAAGUUCAACAGUUGGUUGUGUUGAAAAGAUCGACCAGUCUGAGAUAUCUGAACCUAACCCACCAGCCUGCUUGAUUUCAUCGCACACAAGCUCGGUGCCUGAUGCUGCUGCUGUGCCAGAAGACAAUGGCCUUACAGCCAUACCACGUUCAGAAAUUAACACAGAAAAAUCGCAGAGGAGUGCGGUUAGUAAUGAUUCAAGCCUGAGCUCUGCUUUGGGUCCAUCCAUUCCGAGCUUUGAACAGGAGUUUGUUUGCAAGGAUGAUGUGCAAUCCAGUAAGCAUGGGCAGAAUAUGGCCACAUUCCAAAGUGGUGAGGAUAAAUUUACUGUCCAAGAGCUUCUCUCAUCGAUGCUACCAUACGAUUCUUCGGUCUCAACAGCAGAAGAUACGAUGUUGGAUAAGGGACCCAAUUCUGUUCAGUCAAUGAAGAAACAAACAUCAAUGAAGAAAGAAACAGGUCCUCAUUUAAACCCACUGGUUGAUGAUGCCAUGCGGCAAAUCAAUUUCAAUGUCAGCAAUGAGCAGCCAAUAUCAGAAAAUGUUCAAGGGGAGACUCAGAACAUGGAUGUCAGCAAACUUCUGAAUGUGGUAAGAGAAGAUCUGGAAGUAAGAAGCAGCUCAUGCUCAUUAAACUCACUGCCUUCUACACCUCUUCCCUCAGUUGCUUCCGAACAGCAUGCUUUGGGAAGCAAUGCUGCCUGCAAGAUACCAGCCGGCUCAGACACAGCAAGAUUAUCUAGUGCCAUCGUCGAUGUGAGAUCUUACAUCUCUGAGGCCAACAUUGUUGUCAAGGAGGAGACAUCCCCUGCCAAGGAAAUGCUCGACGUCACGUCAUUUAGGCAGCGGGCCGAGGCUCUUGAGGGGCUCCUUGAGCUCUCCGCGGACCUACUGGAAGACAACAGGUUGGAGGAACUUGCUAUUGUUCUGAAGCCAUUUGGGAAGAUGAAGGUCUCUCCAAGAGAAACGGCAAUCUGGCUGGCUAGAAGCUUUAAAGGGAUGAUGAAUGACGAAGCGAGUCGCACGUCAAUGUGA